UGAUGAGACACGCAGCAGUAGGCAGCGCUGAAAAAGAAGCGCUACCGCUCUUUGUCUUCUGUGCAGCAGGUUUGCAGUAACACAUUCUCUGGAGUUCGCCGCGUCUUCCUUCGCAGAGAAAUCGGAUAUUCGCUAGUGUUGAGGCCGUUGUAAGCUCUCCUCAUCUGCUCAUCUUCGCUUCACGGAAAGUUACAGUCGUUGUCUUUCAGAGGCAUACAUCCUUUUUUUUCCUACUGACUCUUAGGCUCUUUGCUGCUCACAUCCGUUGGGGCAAGCAUCUUAUGCAGGAGCUUGCGCGGCAGUUUGAGCAACAAGGCAUUCGGUGCUCAGCAGACGCUCCGCAGCGGCUUUGGUGCUCGUUUUGCACCGCCUACCGGGAGGACUUGGCUAAAUCUAAUGACCGUCAUAGUGAGCUGAAGGGCCGGGUUGGUGUGAAAGCGGAAGAGGGGGAGACCGAGACUCUCGAUGAAGCAGCACGUGCCGACUCCGAUUUUGGUUCCUCACCUUCGACCCCAGGCCAGACUCGGGCCCGCCACACGAGCACUCCUUCGCCUUCGCUUUGCACAUUAGAGGCCACUAAGGAGGCCGUUUUGGCCCACUGCGCAACACGUAUCCACCUCUACCUCUACGAGUACCAUGUGCAAAACGGAUUGCAGCACUGGUGCGGGGUUGAGUUGCAUGGCUACCGUAUGCUUCUCAGCCACCACUGUAUCUACCCUUCCCGCAUGUUCGGCGACGGUCGCCUGCUGAUGGAUACCUCCAUCUCCGGUGGGAUGCUGCUCGGAGUGGACGUCUGUGGUGGAGUGAAGCUGUGGCCGCAGCAUCAGUACACUGCCGUGGAGCUGAUUCUUCCAUCGGCGCUCAGCGGGGUUCGCGAAGUGCUGGUCCCCCCGGUGUCUAUGUCGGGUGCGGAGGAGGAGAGCCAACGAGUGAGUGAGGCAGAGAGCGGCAAGCAACGUGCGUCGUCCCCGCCUCUGCCGAGAAACCUGCCAGGGAGCCGCGUCGUUCGCAUCAUCCACGAGGCUUCGGAGAUCCCAGCGGAGGUGGCGAGCUCCUACAACAGCGCCUUGAAUGGGUCGCGGAGGAAGGGCAGUAAAGCUAUGCGGUCUCUCGAUCGAGGCCCUGCUGGCAGGUCUGGUGGCCGUGUGAGCUCAAGCAUUGUACCGCGGUACUUUGAUGAGUUCCACAGGCUGCGUAGCCAGCGAGUCAUGGAGGGGUCUCUCGAAACGGUACUGGAGGCUACCAACGCAUCCAUCAUUGGCGAGGCUCGCCUGCGCAGGCAGCGCCGUCGCUACGCAGUGAAGCACAAGACUAUUUUCACCAAGGGGAAGACUGCGUCCGGCGAUGAGCAGUAAUUGUCGGUUUCUACGCCUGCGUGUGUCUGUCUACGCGUGUGCGCUGGUCUACGCUUGGCGCACAUCAUGUCGCGAGCUUGCAGAAGAUGGUGUGCGGCGCGCCAGCUGAAUACACUUCUGCUCCGAAAAAAGCGAUAAGGAAAAUAAGCGUGUGCUCGUGGCUUGGCUGCGCUUGCAGCAGCAAGCGGAACAAGCGAGAGAGAGGGCCUUGAAAAGGGUACUGUCGCGCUGGAGAAGCUGCCUGGCAUCGCAGUGGGUUGUACUGGAAAGUGAGUACGUGCAUCGUAGAGGGGGGAGGGGGCUAUUCUCUUUCCUCUCUUUCUAACCACUCUGUGUGUCCGUGCCGCUGUCUCUGGACUGCGCCUUCUUCUCACGGCUUUUCCAUGUCUCUCACUGCCUCCUUUAUCCAUCACCGUGGUGCUCGUUCUUCUCGACACCCACGCGUUCAUGGCAUACUCGGCUUGAUUGCAUGUGUUUGUGCGACACUAUUAAACACGGAGCUGGAAAG
rnacentral:misc_RNA from 1 species